UGGGGAAUCUUGCACAAUGCGCGAAAGCGUGAUGCAGCAACGCCGCGUGGGAGAAGAAGGCCUUCGGGUUGUAAAUCCCUUUCAGUUGGGACGAAGCUUCGUCGGUUAAUAGCCGGUUGGAGUGACGGUACCUUCAGAAGAAGCCCCGGCUAACUACGUGCCAGCAGCCGCGGUAAUACGUAGGGGGCUAGCGUUGUCCGGAAUCAUUGGGCGUAAAGCGCGUGUAGGCGGCUCAACAAGUCUGCUGUGAAAGUCCAGGGCUCAACCCUGGAAUGCCGGUGGAAACUGUUGGGCUAGAGUCCGGAAGGGGCGAGUGGAAUUCCUGGUGUAGCGGUGAAAUGCGCAGAUAUCAGGAGGAACACCAAUGGCGAAGGCAGCUCGCUGGGACGGUACUGACGCUGAGACGCGAAAGCGUGGGGAGCAAACAGGAUUAGAUACCCGGGUAGUCC
rnacentral:rRNA from 1 species